UAGUCCACGCCCUAAACGAUGUCAACUAGCUGUUGGGGCCGUUAGGCUUUAGUAGCGCAGCUAACGCGUGAAGUUGACCGCCUGGGGAGUACGGUCGCAAGAUUAAAACUCAAAGGAAUUGACGGGGACCCGCACAAGCGGUGGAUGAUGUGGAUUAAUUCGAUGCAACGCGAAAAACCUUACCUACCCUUGACAUGUCUGGAAGGCCGAAGAGAUUUGGUUGUGCUCGCAAGAGAACUGGAACACAGGUGCUGCAUGGCUGUCGUCAGCUCGUGUCGUGAGAUGUUGGGUUAAGUCCCGCAACGAGCGCAACCCUUGUCAUUAGUUGCUACGAAAGGGCACUCUAGUGAGACUGCCGGUGACAAACCGGGAGGAAGGUGGGGAU
rnacentral:rRNA from 1 species